AUAAGCUGAUUUUCAUAAGUUAAACCAAACAUCCUUUUAUUGUUCAAGUACUCAUUGAAAAUAGUCUACUAGAUUAUUUAUAUGAAAUAUUUUGCAGGAGCGGAGAACAGAUGCAAUUGAUAGAAGAAACAUUUCAUAAACGAUGAUUCCAUUCUUUGUUCAAAAUUCUUCUUUCGUCAAGAGUAGAGCAAAUAGGUUGAUAGUGACACGCUAAUACAAUAUUGAUUCUAUUAAUUCUUGCAUUGACUCUUCCACCACUAAUUAAUUUUUAGUAUGUGAUUGUUUAAUAGUGUGAUAGUUGAACUUGGUGAGUGGUAGAGUUUGGUCGUAUUAUCCUCAUAAACUUUGCAUUGCGAUUUCUGCGCUAAUGCAUCUGUGGGCUUCCAGUGCUGGUUGCAUUGAUUCCAUCAUGACUCAUCUUCUAUAUAGAUUAAUUUGAGGACAAAUCCAGAACUUUAAGUUUGCUGAUUUCCAUGGCCAUGGUGUGCAAAUGCAUUCACAUUAGCUAUUAUUAAUUUUAUGUGUUAUGGUUGUCGAUCCCUCAUUACUGUUUACUUUUUUUUAUCUUUCUUUUGUCUUUGACACAAACAUGUGGGAACAGG
rnacentral:misc_RNA from 1 species